GCUCUGUCUGCUAGACCGCAGCCCUCCUGCGAUGUGUAGCUCUGAUGUAC
rnacentral:pre_miRNA from 1 species